rnacentral:lncRNA from 1 species
AAAUGACAUCAAAAUGACAUACAUUAUAUGCAUAAUCAUAUCAAAAAAUUAUACAACUAACAUACAAAAUUAUUGUGCACUAGAUUCAUUAUUCUGAAGGAAGCAAGAUGCACAACGUGACCAUACGUUUUUUGGUGUAUUGUCUCUUAACACCUAUAAUUUCAAUUAAUAAUACUUGUUAGUAUAACACUUGUUGGCACACAUGUAUAAACUCUUAUAAUUUAUAUCAAAAAAUAAUUAUGAAUAAAGAAUAAAAAAUAUUUAUUUUUUCUGUUUUCUCAUAUGCCUUCUUCAUGAUAAUAACGAAUAACACACACAUCACCUAUAUCAACUUUUUCAUAUGAAGUAGGCACAUGUGUUGCAAAAGAAGGUGUCUUAGGAAUAUCAAAAUUUAAAUAUUGAUUCUCAUCACUAUGAGGAAUGUAUUUUUCUUAGAGAACAGUUGAUCAUCUUUUUUAAUAAGAUUUAGUGACAUAAAAUACUUGUUUUGCUUGAAAUGUCAUGUAGAAUGGUUCGAUCAUAUAAGUUGUCUUGCCAAGGUUAACCCGUGUAAUUCAAGGAAUUCAAGAACUCAUUUCCUAUACACCAUACCUAACCUAUUAGACUUCAUCCAACUACGAUCAAUAAUACAUUCUGAAAUUCAUGUCAAAUUCUUCUAAAAUCAUUUAACAAUACAACAACAAUAUUCUCAUAAACACAAUAACAAUGUAAAUACAACAACUUACUAAGUCACUUUUCAACAAUAUAGAAAAAUAGUAUAUAGCAAUAAUACAACAAUACAACAACACAAUAACAAUAAAACAAAUACAACAACAAUAUAAAACAUUCUCAACAACACAAAGACUAUCUCAAUCUCACUCAAUCACAACAACAUAUAACAUUAAACAAUAACAACAACAAAAACACAAUAACAUUCAACAUUAAAACUCUAGGUUUUAGGGUCUCAAGAACAACAAUAACAAUAAUAAUGUAACAUUAACAUUGAUGAAAUGUUUCAUGUACCAUAAAGGUAAAGAAGAGUCAAAACCGAGUUUUGUGAUCCCUUCUUGUGAGAUUUGACUUUCCUUUCACUACUAAAAAUAUUAUAUUUUAUGAAAAAACUUUUACGUCAUCCAACAAAAAGCUGAGGUAAAAUUCCAUGACACGCUAUGUUAUUUUUUUUUCAAGAAAUUAUCAUCUAUUCUCUCGGUUUAAGAAAAAACUGAGGGGUAAACUAAUUUAAGGUACAUGCUUUGAGUCCCGGUAACUAAAAUUUUUGUUUUUUUUUCUUUAAAAGUGACACAUUUCUUAUUAUUUAAGAUUUUAUCUUAUUAUUAAAUAUUAUAUUCUCUCUGUUUCUCAAAUAAUCGAGGGGUAUCAUACAUAAGUUUUACUAUAAAAGGAUUUUGUCACUAAGUUUUACCCUAAACCUAACUCACAAGUUCAGCUGCUCCAUACUCUUAAACAUCAUUAUGUCUGAUGGAUUGCUAGACAAAAAAAUUAGGUUAUAUGUUAUUGUUCUUCUUACACCAACCUUUAACAAAUCAUUUAUUUAUUCUAGCAAUCUAUCUCACCUAAUGUUGUUGUUGUUAUUCUUCUUCUUUUUGUUCACACCAAUAUUUAAUGGAAUAACUUUCCAAUGUUGUUAAUCAAAGAAAACUUUCUAUAAUAUAUAUUGAUUUCUUCGAUUGACAACAUUGAGAAUUUUAUUCUUAAUCAGAUUGCAACACAUAAAGAAAUUGAUCAAUGAUAAAAAAAAUUAAAAGGAAACAAUACAUGUUACUUCAAUUUUUUCCCAUUCACCAUUUCUUUUGGCAAUAGAAGUCAUUUAUUACCUUGAUUCUUUUAGAAAUCGGGGUUAAAAGUAUCAAAUUUAUUGUAAUUUUUAUUUUAAAAGAUUUUUUUACCUCGAGUUUAAUUUACAAUCAAAGGGUAAAAUAAGGGUGUUUAUUGAGUUAAAAGUACCAAAUAAGGAUUUUUUUUACCUUAAACAAAUUUGUGUCGUCCAUUUAGUGAGUAUCAACACUUAAGACAUUGACAUUAGUGAUCAACGUGAAACCUAAAAGACAUCAAUUCAGAAGGCUCAUGCCACAUUAUAAAAGCAUUUUGAAUAUAAAAAAUUGAUCAUGAAAGCAUUUGUUAUGAAAACAUUGAAACUUAUUUAUUUUAUAUCAGAAAUAUUGAAACAAUGCUCUCUAUGAUGGAUUGAAAGAGCAAAAAAAUAUUUGGGUUUAAGGUUUGUAUUCUUAAUAAUCAUAUAACUUAAUAUUUUUAAUUUAUUUAUCUAACCCCUUUUUUAUUUUAUAUUAAAAACAAAUGCAUGAAAUAUCAAACAUUUCAUCUUCUCCAAAAUUCAAUGAAAUGAUGAUCCAUCAUGUGUUCUUCGCCUACACUGAUGGCAAUGGAUCAGAUUCAUAAUUUGUUAUAUAAGUUUACUUUAAUAUUCUGUGUAAACAAUAUAAUUUGUAAAUAAUUUAAUUUAAUAUUAUAUGUAAAUAAUGUAAUUGGUAUUUUUAAAAAGUUAUUUUUUUCUUGGUUUUGGUCAUAAACUGAGAGGUACAUGACGCUAGUUUUAAAACUCUAAAAAUAUUGAUGUUGAAGAACAAACCAAUGACUAUUUCAACUAUCCCCUCGGUUAUUCAGAAACUGAUGGAUAAAUUGGCAAGUUUUCAUGAUAUUCUUCGUUAUCUCGCUUGUAUAACAUGUAUUUUUUGUAGUAGUGUUUUCUUGAUUUGUACCGGAUAUGAUUGAGGUUAUCGAAGAAAUGAGUUUAGUGAAUAUGGAUUUUUGCUAGGGAGUUGUUCUAGUCUUAAGGGUUUUCGCUUAAGGUGAUGUUCAGUUAUGGGGGAAAUAAAUUUUAGCUUUUUAUUUUCAAUUAAAAAGGAAUACGUUUCACCAUGGUACUCAAAAUAACUGUGGUGAUAAUGGUCUAAUUAUUUUUUUUAUAUAAAGACUCAACAUGUUCAUUCACCUUUUCACUAAUCCUAACUUAUUCGACCUUCAAACUUCGUCUUCGAAUCUUCUUGCAUUGUUGUAUCAUGAUCCUAUAGGUUUAGGAUUUAAAGAUACUAAAUUA